GCCGCGUGGAGGAUGACGCAUUUCGGUGUGUAAACUCCUUUUAUAUGGGAAGAUAAUGACGGUACCAUAUGAAUAAGCACCGGCUAACCCCGUGCCAGCAGCCGCGGUAAUAAUCACUAGUGAAUUC
rnacentral:rRNA from 1 species